GAUCAAAGCACGGGGCCCUUUGCCCCCGGCGCGACUGUCAACCGGGUCGGACUGUCCUCAGUGCGCACCCAACCGCGUUGCGUCGCCAGGGUAGGGAUCGGCUCACGUAAACUGGCGCCAGGGGUCAGCGGCGAUGUCGGCAACCC
rnacentral:rRNA from 1 species